rnacentral:ribozyme from 13 species
UUUGUUUUUUUUUUUUAUCUUGUUCUUUUGUUCUUUUUUAAUUUUGUUUUUUAGUCUCAAAUCUUCCAUCUUCUUUGGCAUGGAAGAAUCCAGCUCCGUCAGUUUUGUGGUCAGGGAAACAAGGAGGUUUAGAGGCUUUGGAUUUGUCUUUCUUUCCAAAGUACUUGUCGUAAAACAGGAUGGAGAAGAGGAUAAAAUAGGAGGUGUACAUGGUCAAUC